CAUCGGCAGUUUUCGCCGAAGUCCGGAACCAAGGCCCGUCCCCCGCCUUUCCCGGACAAACGCGGCAGCCUAUCCCCCUCUCCGGGCUGCCGCGCCGUUUGAAGCAAGCCGCCGUGGUUCCCCCUCCGCCACGGCGGCACUUU
rnacentral:sRNA from 1 species